GCAUCGGUGAUUCAGUGGUAGAAUGCUCGCCUACCACGCGGGCGGCCCGAGUUCGAUUCCAGGUCGAUGCU
rnacentral:tRNA from 1 species